UACGUAGGGUGCAAGCGUUGUCCGGAAUUAUUGGGCGUAAAGAGCUCGUAGGCGGUUUGUCGCGUCUGCUGUGAAAAUCCAGGGCUUAACCCUGGACCUGCAGUGGGUACGGGCAGACUAGAGUGCGGUAGGGGAGAUCGGAAUUCCUGGUGUAGCGGUGAAAUGCGCAGAUAUCAGGAGGAACGCCGGUGGCGAAGGCGGAUCUCUGGGCCGUAACUGACGCUGAGGAGCGAAAGCAUGGGGAGCGAACAGG
rnacentral:rRNA from 1 species